rnacentral:rRNA from 1 species
CUCCUCCUACGGGGGGCAGCAGUGGGGGAUAUUGCACAAUGGGCGAAAGCCUGAUGCAGCGACGCCGCGUGAGGGAAGACGGUCUUCGGAUUGUAAACCUCUGUCUUUGGGGAAGAAAAUGACGGUACCCAAAGAGGAAGCUCCGGCUAACUACGUGCCAGCAGCCGCGGUAAUACGUAGGGAGCAAGCGUUGUCCGGAAUUACUGGGUGUAAAGGGCGUGUAGCCGGGCCGGCAAGUCAGAUGUGAAAUCCCAAGGCUCAACCUUGGAACUGCGUUUGAAACUGUUGGUCUUGAGUAUCGGAGA